UACGUAGGAGGCAAGCGUUGUCCGGAGUUACUGGGCGUAAAGCGCACGCAGGCGGUCUUGUCAGUCUGUAGGGACAGGGCACAGCUCAACUGUGUCAGGCUUAUGGAAACUGCAAGACUUGAGGGCUUCAGAGGGAUGGGGAAUUCCGGGUGGAGUGGUGAAAUGCGUAGAUAUUGGGAAGAACACCAGUGGCGAAGGCGGCUACCUGGACCAGCACUGACACUGAGGCACGAAAGCGUGGGGAGCAAACAGG
rnacentral:rRNA from 1 species